AGAGGCCACCGCUAUUGGACUUCGCUUAAACCAUGCGAGUCGAGAGGGUUCGGCCCUCGGCAGACCGCUCAGUAACACGCGGACAACCUGCCCUUGGGUGGAGGAUAAGCUCGGGAAACUGAGUAUAAUACUCCAUAGACCAUCUAUGCUGGAAUGCUUGAUGGUCGAAAGCUCAGGCGCCCAAGGAUGGGUCUGCGGCCUAUCAGGUCGUAGUUGGUGUAACGGACCAACUAGCCUUCGACGGGUACGGGCCUUGAGAGAGGUAGCCCGGAGAUGGACUCUGAGACAUGAGUCCAGGCCCUACGGGGCGCAGCAGGUGCGAAAACUUCGCAAUGUGGGAAACCACGACGAGGGGAGUCCAAGUGCUUAUACAAUGUAUAGGCUGUUUCUGUGCCUAAAAAGCACGGAGAGUAAGGGCUGGGUAAGACGGGUGCCAGCCGCCGCGGUAAUACCCGCAGCCCGAGUGGUGGUCGCUAUUAUUGGGCCUAAAACGUCCGUAGCCUGCCCGGUAAAUUCUUGGGGAAAUCGGCCAGCUCAACUGGCCGAAGUCCGAGGAGACUGCCGGGCUUGGGACUGGGUGAGGUCAGAGGUACUUCAGGGGUAGGGGUAAAAUCCUGUAAUCCUUGAAGGACCACCAGUGGCGAAGGCGUCUGACUAGAACGGAUCCGACGGUAAGGGACGAAGCCCUGGGGCACAAACGGGAUUAGAUACCCCGGUAGUCCAGGGCGUAAACGCUGUGGGCUUGGUGUUGGGAGUCCUACGAGGGCGCCCAGUGCCGGAGAGAAGUUGUUAAGCCUACUGCCUGGGGAGUACGCUCGCAAGAGUGAAACUUAA
rnacentral:rRNA from 1 species